AGAGUUUGAUCCUGGCUCAGGAUGAACGCUAGCGACAGGCCUAACACAUGCAAGUCGAGGGGCAGCGGGGAUGCGGCAACGCAUCCGCCGGCGACCGGCGCACGGGUGAGUAACACGUAUGCGACCUGCCCGACACAGGGGGAUAACCGGUAGAAAUGCCGACUAAUACCCCAUACACCCUCUGGGCUGCAUGGCCGGGAGGGGAAAGCCGCGAGGCGGUGUCGGAUGGGCAUGCGGCGCAUUAGCUAGUCGGCGGGGUAACGGCCCACCGAGGCGACGAUGCGUAGGGGUUCUGAGAGGAAGGUCCCCCACAUUGGUACUGAGACAUGGACCAAACUCCUACGGGAGGCAGCAGUGAGGAAUAUUGGUCAAUGGGCGGGAGCCUGAACCAGCCAAGUCGCGUGAGGGAAGACGGUCCUACGGAUUGUAAACCUCUUUUGCCGGGGAGCAACGGGCGCCACGUGUGGUGCUGUGAGCGUACCCGGAGAAAAAGCAUCGGCUAACUCCGUGCCAGCAGCCGCGGUAAUACGGAGGAUGCGAGCGUUAUCCGGAUUUAUUGGGUUUAAAGGGUGCGUAGGCGGCGCCCCAAGUCAGCGGUAAAAAUGCGGUGCUCAACGCCGUACAGCCGUUGAAACUGGGGGGCUCGAGUGCGCCAGGAGCAUGCGGAAUGCGCAGUGUAGCGGUGAAAUGCAUAGAUAUUGCGCAGAACUCCGAUCGCGAAGGCAGCAUGCUAUGGCGGGACUGACGCUGAGGCACGAAAGCGUGGGGAUCGAACAGGAUUAGAUACCCUGGUAGUCCACGCAGCAAACGAUGAGCACUGACUGUGCGGGGCGAACGGGCCCUGCGCGGUAAAGCGAAAGCGUUAAGUGCUCCACCUGGGGAGUACGCCGGCAACGGUGAAACUCAAAGGAAUUGACGGGGGCCCGCACAAGCGGAGGAACAUGUGGUUUAAUUCGAUGAUACGCGAGGAACCUUACCCGGGCUCAAACGACAGGGGAACCGUCGGGAAACCGGCGGGCCGGCAACGGCCGCUGUCGAGGUGCUGCAUGGUUGUCGUCAGCUCGUGCCGUGAGGUGUCGGCUUAAGUGCCAUAACGAGCGCAACCCCCAUCUCCAGUUGCUAGCGGGUAAAGCCGAGGACUCUGGAGAGACUGCCGGCGCAAGCUGCGAGGAAGGCGGGGAUGACGUCAAAUCAGCACGGCCCUUACGUCCGGGGCGACACACGUGUUACAAUGGCGGGGUACAGCAGGAUGCUUCCGGGCGACCGGUGGCGGACCCUGAAAACCCGUCUCAGUUCGGAUUGGAGUCUGCAACCCGACUCCAUGAAGCUGGAUUCGCUAGUAAUCGCGCAUCAGCCACGGCGCGGUGAAUACGUUCCCGGGCCUUGUACACACCGCCCGUCAAGCCAUGGGAGCCUGGAGCACCUGAAGUCCGCCGCCGAGAGGAGCGGCCAAGGGUGAGACAGGUGACUGGGGCUAAGUCGUAACAAGGUAGCCG
rnacentral:rRNA from 1 species